AGUAACGCGUGGAUAACCUGCCUCACACUGGGGGAUAACAGUUAGAAAUGACUGCUAAUACCGCAUAAGCGCACAGUACCGCAUGGUACAGUGUGAAAAACUCCGAUGGUGUGAGAUGGAUCCGCGUCUGAUUAGCCAGUUGGCGGGGUAACGGCCCACCAAAGCGACGAUCAGUAGCCGACCUGAGAGGGUGACCGGCCACAUUGGGACUGAGACACGGCCCAA
rnacentral:rRNA from 1 species